rnacentral:lncRNA from 1 species
GACUACAAUUGGCUCUGCAAUCCCCCUUGUGACGCCUGGACAGAUUAUUGUCUCGAAUUAAAAUCCUAACCUAUGAAUCACCACGAACCUGUUUGAUGGUACUUAUUACUUAUCCUGGUACAAAUCUGCCACACUCUUCCUAAAAAGCAGAGGUAAAAUUGGGUAUGUUAAUGGUGCUAUUACUUCUAUCAACGUGGGGGU